rnacentral:rRNA from 1 species
AUUGAACGCUGGCGGCAGGCCUAACCCAUGCAAGUCGAGCGAGUGCCGGACGGGCGAGUAAUGUAUGGGGCUCUGCCCGCUAGAGGGGGAUAACUACUGGAAACUGUGGCUAAUACCGCAUUCCAUCCGCUGAACCCAUAUGGGAUUAGCGAGUAGGUGGGGUAAUAGCGCACCUAGGCGACGAUCCCUAGCUGGUCUGAGAGGAUGAGCAGCCACACUAGGACUGUGACAGUGCCCAGACUCCUACGGAAGGCAGCGGUGGGGAAUAUUGCAGAAAAGGCGCAAGCCUGAUGCAGCCAUGCCGAGUGUAUGAAAAAGGCCUCGGGGUUGUGAAGUACUUUCAGCGGAGAGGGGUUGCCCGGAGAAGAAGCACCGACUAACUCCGUGCCAGCAGCCGCGGUAAUAC